UACCCGCAGCACAAGUGGUGGUCAUUAUUAUUGGGCCUAAAGCGUCCGUAGCUGGCUUGUUAGAUGCCUGGGUAAAUCGAUGCGCUCAACGCAUCGACUUCCGGGUAGACCGGCAAGCUCGAGACCGGGAGAGGUGUAGGCUACUCGGGGGGGUAGGGGUAAAAUCCUGUAAUCCCUCCGGGGGAGGACCAGUGGCGAAGGCGGCUACACUAGAACGGCUCUGACAGUGAGGGACGAAGCCCCUGGGGCGCAAACCGG
rnacentral:rRNA from 1 species